UAAAGGCUUGCUUUUUCUUACUCAUCCCAACACUGCUGUUCAUCUAUUCCUCUUUGUCUGGCUGCGGUUUCCAGCAUUUCAGUGUCUUCUUUAUUCUCUCUUGACUUAGGAGAAAUUAACACUUGCCUGCCUGAAGGGUCUUAUCCUCAGGGAUGUUUCAGCUGCUACUACGUAUCCUUGACUUUUCCUUGAUGAUCUGAUAUUCCUGAGGUUUGCAAGUUGGUGUGUUCAUCCUCCUUCUGUGCACACUGAGGAACUGAUUACAUUGAUACAAGUCUACUGAAUUUGAGGGGAUUACCUUUCAAAUUACAUUGUAUUUUUCAGCUUAAAAAUCAUAUCAGACUACAGAAGAAAACACCACGUCAACAUCCUAUGAUGAAUAUAAGCAUGAAGACAGUUGAGCUGUGACUAAAAGUUCCUGCUGUACAGAGGAGAACAGGACUUUCUGGUAGAUGACAAGAAUACUGAAGAAAUAUCUGAAGGGAACAUAAAGGUAAGAUGGAGAAAACCCCUGAAGUUUGACUUAAAAUCAUUGAGAAUGAGCUACCACAAAGAUGCCAAAUUCACAUGGAUGGCUCCUGCCCAGGUUCAUUGAGACAAUCAGAGUCAAUCAGAUUGCCACAUACAACAAGGCUUUCCAGCAAAAAGGGGGACUCAGCACUCUUCAAAAAGAUUAAAGGAACUAACCACCAGUACAGAGUUACUAAAGUUAAUGCUAUCCCUAAGGGGAGUAGGAGCUACAACUGCAAAAACAUCUCCCAAAAGUAUGGCUCCAGUGAAGAGGAGGUUAAGUGGGACAGAGGAUCGUAUGUGACUAGUGAAAUUCCUUCACACCUUCUGAGAAACAGACAAAAAGAGAGGGUGAACCAUAGCAUCACAGGUAGCCGCCUCGCAGCUCCUCUUUCAGUGCUGGUUAUUAUUUAACAACAGCAGUUUAAUUUGGAGGUGUCUGGUGGAACGUGUGAAAUUGCAAGGGAAUAGAGAAUACACAAUCAAAUGUGACAGUUCUUAAAUGAGCCAAAGAAGCAGGGAAAUAACAUAAAUACCAGUUCAGUCUCAACAGACACAGAAACUGGGGAACAUGAACCCAAACAUGAUGGGAAGAUUAUUUUUGUGAACUGAACUCUGGGAACUGGAGCAGGAAAUCUUGUUAGCUGAGACAGUGAAUGAGUGAGCAGUUGCAGUGUAUGUCAUCAUGGAUAAUGUCUCAGAAAUGUGAAAGAAGUUGUCUCACGCUUUUGUCUGGGAAGUUACCGUUCAUGACUGGAUCUUGGUGAAACAAAUUAUCUACAGGCAGUCAGAAAUGUACUACAGGGUGCUUUACACACUCUGUUACUAGAGGUGCUUUUAGGACAACGAUGUAACGUGGUACCUUUCAGUAAAGGAGAUGACAGGUGGUGUCUGAAAUAUGUUUUGAAAUUACGUAUUUCAAGGGUCUUAACUGCCAAAGCUCCCACUGAAUGUGAAGCAGGGGUGGAUUCCUGUUCACUUACCGAGUACUUCCAAGGGCUAGCUUAUUAAAAGAACAGGAAAACCACAUUUUUGCAAACAGAAAGACUAUGUAACCGCACACUCCAAUGCCAAACACGGGUGCCUAGAGCUGCUUACAACGAAGGCAUGUGGGAGUGGAGUGGGUUUUUUUAAGCUUUUGGUGGCUAUUGUUUCUCCUGCACUGUCGAUCCACAAGAGAGGUUGGGAAAGCCAAAGAAAACUGAGAGAGAUGGAAACAAGGAAGUACUUGACAUGGUGCAUAUCCAUGAAUGGUGGGUACGUAGUUGAAAGAAAAGGUUAAAGAGCACUCUUUUGUAAUAAGCUGUAUAUAAAAUAAGCUGUUUGAUUCCUAAUGGGUUCUGGGAAACAGAAAUGUCUUUUAAAAUUUUUUUUUAGUAAAUAAAAAAAGAAUAUCAAAAAUAUACUUCUAUCUAUCAGCAAUUUAAUAUAACACAAACAACACCAAGGCCCUGAUCUUUUUAUUUGCUCAGGUAAAAGAAAAAGAGGAUCUUAUGCAAGUUUUUCUGCAUUUAGUUUUUUUUUUUUUUUAGAUGAAUCAAAAGUUUUAGGUAUUUUUUGUCCUGCUGUGGUCUUCUUUUUGCAAUGUUUAACAUCUUUCCAUGGGAUGUUAUAGCUUAGAUUUUUUGUUUCAUUUUAAGAUAUAGGUUGUAAUCACCCAUGAAAUUUUCUGUGAAACAUCUCUCCACUCUACAAAAUGAAAGAAAAUUAUAUUGUUUGGACCGAGACUUUUAGAAUGAAAGUAUAGGUCUUGUGCUAGGAGGCCUGAAGUACUCAUCAUGGUGAUUGCUUUUGAUACCUCGCCAAAGACACGGUAUCUGUGGACUUUUUGACCCUGAAAAUGUCUAACCUAAAACCAGUAGAUUUUUCAGAUUUCAUGCCCUCCUUUUACUCACUGUGUCUAUAUUGAGCCACAUCUUCAGCUGAUGCAGUUUGACGGAUUUCAGUUUUGCUUAUUUACGUUGCCAAGGCUCUGCUGUGUAUUAUUUUCCUUUGCUGAGUGUGAUAUUACAUUGUGAUGUGAACCUAAAGCUUAUGGGUAUUGCCUGUGUCAGUAAAAUGAAUUCUUGCUCUUUCUACUUUACUUUGGGAGUGAGGUGCAUCUGUUGUGAG